UGGGGAAUUUUGGACAAUGGGGGCAACCCUGAUCCAGCAAUGCCGCGUGUGUGAAGAAGGCCUUCGGGUCGUAAAGCACUUUUGUCCGGAAAGGAAAAACGUCGUGGUUAAGUACCCGUGGCGGCUGACGGUACCCGGAAGAAUAAGCACCGGCUAACUACGUGCCAGCAGCCGCGGUAAUACGUAGGGUGCAAGCGUUAAUCGGAAUUACUGGGCGUAAAGCGUGCGCAGGCGGUCCGCUAAGACAGAUGUGAAAUCCCCGGGCUUAACCUGGGAACUGCAAUUUGUGACUGGCGGGCUAGAGUAUGGCAGAGGGGGGUAGAAUUCCACGUGUAGCAGUGAAAUGCGUAGAGAUGUGGAGGAAUACCGAUGGCGAAGGCAGCCCCCUGGGCCAAUACUGACGCUCAUGCACGAAAGCGU
rnacentral:rRNA from 1 species